GAUGAACGCUGGCGGCGUGCUUAACACAUGCAAGUCGAGCGAAGCACUUAAGUUUGAUUCUUCGGAUGAGGACUUCUGUGACUGAGCGGCGGACGGGUGAGUAACGCGUGGGUAACCUGCCUCAUACAGGGGGAUAACAGUUAGAAAUGGCUGCUAAUACCGCAUAAGACCACAGUACUGCAUGGUACAGUGGUAAAAACUCCGGUGGUAUGAGAUGGACCCGCGUCUGAUUAGGUAGUUGGUGAGGUAACGGCCCACCAAGCCGACGAUAAGUAGCCGACCUGAGAGGGUGACCGGCCACAUUGGGACUGAGACACGGCCCAGACUCCUACGGGAGGCAGCAGUGGGGAAUAUUGCACAAUGGGCGAAAGCCUGAUGCAACGACGCCGCGUGAAGGAUGAAGUAUUUCGGUAUGUAAACUUCUAUCAGCAGGGAAGAAAAUGACGGUACCUGACUAAGAAGCCCCGGCUAACUACGUGCCAGCCGCCGCCGUAA
rnacentral:rRNA from 1 species